rnacentral:lncRNA from 1 species
CUGGGGGUGGAUUUCAAGACUCACUAUCCUAUUUGUUAGAAUAUUUGAUUAGCAAUAAAGGGUUUCUUUCCCUCCUCCAGUUUUUCUGCGCGAAUUUUCUUAGAGGCUGUAUAGUGUGUGUGUGUGUGUGUGUAUGCAUGUGUGUGUGUAGAUUUGGAUUAGGGUCCAGAUACUAUCACUUACUGGCUACGAUGACCUCAAGGAACCAAUACACAGUAUUGAUUCCAAGAUGGAAGUUCUAGGUACAAGGAAUAGUCUCUGUCCUAGCAGUUCAAACCACGAGGAACCAGGAAUCCAGAUUCAGUCUUACAAUCAGC